rnacentral:rRNA from 1 species
UGCGGUAGGGGAGAUUGGAAUUCCUGGUGUAGCGGUGGAAUGCGCAGAUAUCAGGAGGAACACCGAUGGCGAAGGCAGAUCUCUGGGCCGUAACUGACGCUGAGGAGCGAAAGGGUGGGGAGCAAACAGGCUUAGAUACCCUGGUAGUCCACCCCGUAAACGUUGGGAACUAGUUGUGGGGUCCAUUCCACGGAUUCCGUGACGCAGCUAACGCAUUAAGUUCCCCGCCUGGGGAGUACGGCCGCAAGGCUAAAACUCAAAGGAAUUGACGGGGACCCGCACAAGCGGCGGAGCAUGCGGAUUAAUUCGAUGCAACGCGAAGAACCUUACCAAGGCUUGACAUAUACGAGAACGGGCCAGAAAUGGUCAACUCUUUGGACACUCGUAAACAGGUGGUGCAUGGUUGUCGUCAGCUCGUGUCGUGAGAUGUUGGGUUAAGUCCCGCAACGAGCGCAACCCUCGUUCUAUGUUGCCAGCACGUAAUGGUGGGAACUCAUGGGAUACUGCCGGGGUCAACUCGGAGGAAGGUGGGGAUGACGUCAAAUCAUCAUGCCCCUUAUGUCUUGGGCUUCACGCAUGCUACAAUGGCCGGUACAAAGGGCUGCAAUACCGCGAGGUGGAGCGAAUCCCAAAAAGCCGGUCCCAGUUCGGAUUGAGGUCUGCAACUCGACCUCAUGAAGUCGGAGUCGCUAGUAAUCGCAGAUCAGCAACGCUGCGGUGAAUACGUUCCCGGGUCUUGUACACACCGCCCGUCAAGUCAUGAAAGUCGGUAACACCUGAAGCCGGUGGCCUAACCCUUG